rnacentral:rRNA from 1 species
UACAGAGGUCUCAAGCGUUGUUCGGAUUCAUUGGGCGUAAAGGGUGCGUAGGCGGCGCGGUAAGUCGGGUGUGAAAUCUCGGAGCUUAACUCCGAAGCUGCAUUCGAUACUGCCGUGCUUGAGGACUGGAGAGGAGACUGGAAUUUACGGUGUAGCGGUGAAAUGCGUAGAUAUCGUAAGGAAGACCAGUGGCGAAGGCGGGUCUCUGGACAGUUCCUGACGCUGAGGCGCGAAAGCCAGGGGAGCAAACGGG